rnacentral:rRNA from 1 species
AUUGAACGCUGGCGACAUGCCUUACACAUGCAAGUCGAACGGUAACGGGCCUCCGGGUGCCGACGAGUGGCGAACGGGUGAGUAAUACAUCGGAACGUGCCCGAUCGUGGGGGAUAACGAGGCGAAAGCUUUGCUAAUACCGCAUACGAUCUACGGAUGAAAGAAGGGGACCGCAAGGCCUUGCGCGGACGGAGCGGCCGAGGGCAGAUUAGGUAGUUGGUGGGAUAAAAGCUUACCAAGCCGACGAUCUGUAGCUGGUCUGAGAGGAUGAUCAGCCACACUGGGACUGAGACACGGCCCAGACUCCUACGGGAGGCAGCAGUGGGGAAUUUUGGACAAUGGGUGCAAGCCUGAUCCAGCCAUGCCGCGUGCAGGAUGAAGGCCUUCGGGUUGUAAACUGCUUUUGUACGGAACGAAAAGCCUUCUUCUAAUACAGGAGGGUCAUGACGGUACCGUAAGAAUAAGCACCGGCUAACUACGUGCCAGCCGCCGCAGUAA